CCUUCUUCUCCGCGGUUGAGCAAUAGAGGUUGCCGGUGGUAAUCUUGCAUGGUUUGGUUGAGAUUAGAGCCUACAGGGAAGAAACAGAGAGGGUUCAGUUCUUGCCUCGCUUCUGAUUUUUCUUUAUCGUUUUUCAUCCAUGCUUUCUUUUCUUCUUAGCAUAAGAGAAGAUAAGAGCAGCUUGGACAGCGAAAGAAAACUACCUG
rnacentral:misc_RNA from 1 species